GGUGAAACUCGGCCAGGGGGUCGAGUUUGCAGUAAUGUCCUGAAAAAUAGACUUACUUACAGUUACCAAGUGCUACUUUUAGCAUUGUGACCUUUCCUCCUCUCUCAUAUCAGGUUAGAGAAACUUAUUUAUUUUUGUGUUCCAAUUGAAUUCUUGGAAAACUCUUCAUCCACAUUAAUAAUAAAUAGCAGAUCCUUGACAUCUUUUUAUUUUUCCCUCCCACCCCUGGGUGUUUUUCAUUUCCGCCCUGGUCAACAAUGGCACAGCCAGCUGUCAAUGGCUUUGCUGGGGGUUCCUCAACUGAAGGGCCGUCGUCACUUGGAAACAGUGCUUUAGUCACCCGGGCAACCAUUUUUCUCAGCAGUGGCCGUGCCAGGAGAAGUUGGCAAUAGCAUGUCCUGGUUUUGUGGAGGAGAGACCCUCAGGGACACAGAACACGGGGUACAGCGCUAUUCGUUUGGCCUCCUGAUGGCGCAGGGUUAUUUCGGAGAACUUUUCCUGCCGCUUUCUUGCUUCCAACAAAACACAAAAGGUUUCCACUCGUAUAUAUCUGCAUAACUCUUUGACCCUCAACAUAUUUGUCCCCUGAUUAUUCAGUUGCCUUCACGGGGCCCCUACGGUAGCGUCAUAAACUUGUUCAUUUGCUGUGGUGAACCAGACCAGCAAGAGGGAGCAAGCUUAGUCAGAAUGACGCCGAUUACUGAAUGAUUAAUAAUAUGGCAGGAGCCGAAAUGUCGCUAGUCUUAGAUGGCAGUUCUUUUCCUGCUUUGCCUCACUUAACUCAGCUUGUUAAAAUGGUCAGUGGGAGAAGUUGCAGAGGAAAGUCGGGUUGGAAACGAACAGUGACCUUAAACCAACAAAUCAGCUGGGCCUAAACACCCCCAUCCAGACAUCUGGACCUCAUGGACAGACAUGUCUUUUGGCACUACUAAAAUAGUAUUGAAAGAUUGAGAGGUCCUGUGUCUAGCAAUCUACCCCCUUUCUUUGACUAAAUGAAUUUUAGUUUAUUUCAAUGAUAUAUUGUAUCAUUCUGGUUUAUUUGAUUUGAAAUUACUAUAAACCAUUUAUAAUUAAAGACCCAGUUUAUGGUGGGCUAACACAAACGUAAUUAAUAAUAAUUAGGAUUUCCUUGAAUUAUGACUUAAAAAGUCGAAUUGAUUGUGCAGCCAGAAUGACUUUUUACCCCAACACCUCUCCCUGUCAGUGUUUGUUGUAUUCAGAAACACCUUUAUCCUGCUCAUGAUGAAGAUGAAUUAUUUUAUUUUUGCCACAUCACGCUAACACACACACCCUCUCCUCCAUCUGGAUUGUGUUUGUUUGGCUUGGUCGUGGUUCUAGCUGCACCUCGGGGCGGUGCGCUGGCUUCACCCUCCUCCAGAUGGACGUCGGACCGCAGUGGAGCUUGGCUGUGGACCGGCCCCUCUCCCUGGGCCUGACGCAACCUCCUAUCACCCAUCUUCAGCACUGAAUACCCGGCCGUGACCAGGCUCAGUGCCCAGGUGUGCCCUGCCUGCUUACAUCACAACCAGAUGGGGCAGACAGCGCUACUGAUGUGCCCACAGAGCCCCCCAGUUCCUUCACAAGCGCUUUUGUUUUUAGUCUAACGAACUGUUCCUAUCACAUAUUUCCAAUAGGAAAUAAAAAAAAGUAUGAAAUUCA
ensembl:lncRNA